CCUACGGGUGGCAGCAGUGGGGAAUAUUGGACAAUGGGGGGAACCCUGAUCCAGCCAUGCCGCGUGUGUGGAGAAGGCCCUCGGGUUGUAAAGCACUUUCAGUGAGGAAGAACGCCUGGUGGUUAAUACCCAUCAGGAAAGACAUCACUCACAGAAGAAGCACCGGCUAACUCCGUGCCAGCAGCCGCGGUAAUACGGAGGGUGCGAGCGUUAAUCGGAAUUACUGGGCGUAAAGCGCGCGUAGGUGGCUUGAUAAGCCGGUUGUGAAAGCCCCGGGCUCAACCUGGGAACGGCAUCCGGAACUGUCAAGCUAGAGUGCAGGAGAGGAAGGUAGAAUUCCCGGUGUAGCGGUGAAAUGCGUAGAGAUCGGGAGGAAUACCAGUGGCGAAGGCGGCCUUCUGGACUGACACUGACACUGAGGUGCGAAAGCGUGGGUAGCAAACAGGAUUAGAUACCCUAGUAGUC
rnacentral:rRNA from 1 species